GUGGGGAAUAUUGCACAAUGGGCGAAAGCCUGAUGCAGCAACGCCGCGUGAGGGAUGACGGCCUUCGGGUUGUAAACCUCUUUUAGCAGGGAAGAAGCGAAAGUGACGGUACCUGCAGAAAAAGCGCCGGCUAACUACGUGCCAGCAGCCGCGGUAAUACGUAGGGCGCAAGCGUUGUCCGGAAUUAUUGGGCGUAAAGAGCUCGUAGGCGGUUUGUCGCGUCUGCUGUGAAAACUGGAGGCUCAACCUCCAGCCUGCAGUGGGUACGGGCAGACUAGAGUGCGGUAGGGGAGAUUGGAAUUCCUGGUGUAGCGGUGGAAUGCGCAGAUAUCAGGAGGAACACCGAUGGCGAAGGCAGAUCUCUGGGCCGUAACUGACGCUGAGGAGCGAAAGCAUGGGGAGCGAACAGGAUUAGAUACCCUGGUAGUCC
rnacentral:rRNA from 1 species